AACGAACGCUGGCGGCAGGCCUAACACAUGCAAGUCGAGCGCCCCGCAAGGGGAGCGGCGGACGGGUGAGUAACGCGUGGGAACGUACCCUUUGCUACGGAAUAGCCUCGGGAAACUGGGAGUAAUACCGUAUGUGCCCUUCGGGGGAAAGAUUUAUCGGCAAAGGAUCGGCCCGCGUUGGAUUAGGUAGUUGGUGGGGUAAUGGCCUACCAAGCCGACGAUCCAUAGCUGGUUUGAGAGGAUGAUCAGCCACACUGGGACUGAGACACGGCCCAGACUCCUACGGGAGGCAGCAGUGGGGAAUCUUAGACAAUGGGCGCAAGCCUGAUCUAGCCAUGCCGCGUGAGCGAUGAAGGCCUUAGGGUUGUAAAGCUCUUUCAGUGGGGAAGAUAAUGACUGUACCCACAGAAGAAGCCCCGGCUAACUCCGUGCCAGCCGCCGCAGUAAUAC
rnacentral:rRNA from 1 species